UAAUACGGAGAGUGCGAGCGUUGUUCGGAAUUAUUGGGCGUAAAGGGCGUCUAGGUGGUUUGUCAAGUCAGAUGUGAAAUCCCUCGGCUCAACCGAGGACGUGCAUUUGAAACUGAUCAACUUGAGUACCUGAGAGGGCAGCGGAAUUCCUGGUGUAGAGGUGAAAUUCGUAGAUAUCAGGAGGAACACCAGCGGCGAAGGCGGCUGCCUGGCAGGAUACUGACACUGAAGCGCGAAAGCGUGGGGAGCAAACAGGAUUAGAUACCCUGGUAGUCCACGCCGUAAACGAUGGGUACUAGCUGUAUCGGGAAUUGACCCCCGGUGUGGCGCAGCUAACGCGUUAAGUACCCCGCCUGGGGAGUACGGCCGCAAGGCUA
rnacentral:rRNA from 1 species